UGAUGUAGGACCAUGCAUGACACUCAUUCAUUUCGCUGAUGUGGCAGACGAUGGGUCCUGGGUAGUUUUUUUUGAUCACUAAUCAGAAUCAUUAAGGAUCUGAGGAGAUGCUUGCUUCAGCCCUUUGCCCUUCGGAAGAAGAGAAACACGGUUGUGACUUCUGCUGUGACAUGAGGCCAUCUGAUACUUGCGAACAUCAUAGAGAGGAAAAGGGCUUGGCUUUGUUGUUUGGAAAGGUGGCAUAAAAAGGAUGCACAAGUUGUGUUGAUGUCUUGGGGCUAGCUGGAGCCAUAUCAGGAGGAUGCUGGAACCAUUUGUAGGUGGCAAGGACAUGUGUGGUGAAAGCCACAACAGAAGAUCCUCUCAUCUCGGCACAAUACCAGGAUGUUGUGGUAUUGCAGCUACUGAAGUGUGGUUCAAGCACUGUAAAAUAAAGCCCUUCCAGAUAUCACAGAUCAUUCUCCUUUUGAAAGUCCUUCAUUGUUCCAGUCUUCCCUCUCCAACCAGCCUCAAACACCUUAUCAUCACGUGAAACUCAGCACUCUCCUCAUGCACACCGAUAUUCUAACCCAACAUCUUUUUCAUUUGAAUUUGGCAGUGUGAAACGUGUACACCAGAAAUUUAACUGUUGCCACCUGUUGUUUUCUCUAUAGUUACCAGUAAGCAAACCUGCUGUAAGUAUUUGUAUCUCCACUUUGGAAGCCAAAGAGACAUUGAUAGCUCUUGAGCUGAUCAUCUCUUGGUAUGAUAUGUAAGUGACCUCACUGGGGUACGAACCUUGUACUUGCCUCAUCUUUCUACUGUUUCUACUCAUCUUUCUACUGUCUCUACUGAGCAUUUGAGUUGUAGCUGUGACAUUUGGGAUAUUGCAAUGUUGUCAGAACCACAUGGAGACAUCUGAAACCUGUCCUAGUCCCAGAUUUGGAAACAGUGUAAUUUCCUAGAGUUAGCUGCUACGGCUGUUUCUGAAAAUGUUUAAAGUCUGUGCGUACCUGAAUAAACUUUCUUUAAAGGAUCUCUCUUAA